rnacentral:rRNA from 1 species
AAUAUUUCGCAAUGGAGGGAACUCUGACGCAGCGACGCCGCGUGAGCGAUGAAGGNCUNNGGAUCNUNAAGCUCUGUCCUUGGNNNNNAUGGUCUUCGGACUUGACGGUACCUAAGGAGGAAGCGUCGGCUAACUACGUUCCAGCAGCCGCGGUAAUACGUAGGGGGCAAGCGUUUUCCGGAAUUAUUGGGCGUAAAGUGUGCGUAGGCGGCCUUUUAAUUCAGACGUUAAAGCCCACGGCUUAACCGUGGGACUGCAUUUGAACCUGGAGGGCUUGAGUAUCGGAGAGGGUACUGGAAUUCCCAGUGUAGCGGUGGAAUGCGUAGAUAUUGGGAGGAACACCAGUGGCGAAGGCGACUACCUGGACGAAAACUGACGCUGAGGCACGAAAGCUAGGGGAGCAAAC